UAAAUCAGGGCUCUAUGUAAAUCCGGAAUGAUGUUUGGUACAGGCCGGGCAAUGGAGAAUCAUUGUUAAAGGUGAUAUUGCAGGCAUCAUCAUGGCCACAUCAAAGGUCCUAAGCUCUAGGUCCACAACUACUGCCUUCCCCAAGAAGGCCAUCUUUGACGCUACAUCAGCAAGGUCACCGUCUGCAGAGGACUCAUUUUUUGCCUCACAAUUUCAUUUCUAC